CCUACGGGAGGCAGCAGUGGGGAAUAUUGGACAAUGGGGGCAACCCUGAUCCAGCCAUGCCGCGUGUGUGAAGAAGGCCCUCGGGUUGUAAAGCACUUUCAGUGAGGAAGAACGCCUGGUGGUUAAUAUCCAUCAGGAAAGACAUCACUCACAGAAGAAGCACCGGCUAACUCCGUGCCAGCAGCCGCGGUAAUACGGAGGGUGCGAGCGUUAAUCGGAAUUACUGGGCGUAAAGCGCGCGUAGGUGGCUUGAUAAGCCGGUUGUGAAAGCCCCGGGCUCAACCUGGGAACGGCAUCCGGAACUGUCAAGCUAGAGUGCAGGAGAGGAAGGUAGAAUUCCCGGUGUAGCGGUGAAAUGCGUAGAGAUCGGGAGGAAUACCAGUGGCGAAGGCGGCCUUCUGGACUGACACUGACACUGAGGUGCGAAAGCGUGGGUAGCAAACAGGAUUAGAUACCCUUGUAGUC
rnacentral:rRNA from 1 species